rnacentral:rRNA from 1 species
GACGAACGCUGGCGGCGUGCUUAACACAUGCAAGUCGAGCGAGGCUCCUCCUUCGGGAGGAUGCCCUAGCGGCGAACGGGUGAGUAACACGUGGGCAACCUGCCCCUAGCACUGGGAUAACCCCGGGAAACCGGAGCUAAUACCGGAUACGACCACGGACGGCAUCAUCUCGUGGUGGAAAGAUUCAUCGGCUAGGGAUGGGCCCGCGGCCUAUCAGCUUGUUGGUGGGGUAA